GGAGCACAGCUGUUAUUAGGAAAUAUGGCCUACCAUGUGUGACAUCAGCCACCGCAGUGCUUCCCAUUUCAAGGACAUUGUAGGACAAGUGGGGUGUUUCUGGGGUUUUUGGGUUUUGUUUGGGUUUUUUUUAGGUGUUUUGCUCCCAAAAAAGAAACAAAGAAAAAAUGGAAGGAAGGAUAAGCCAGCCACCUGAGAGAGGAGGGGAGAUUGUCAUUCAGCAGGCGUCUGAUGACUGUCAGGCAGUUCUCCUCCACUGCAGAUGUGACGCAAACAUGCACUCCUCUUUCUCUUCUCUCCGCUGUGUCAUCCUCCUCCCCGUCCUCCCCUCUGCUCCCUCUCCCUCUCCUUUCCUCUCCUCAUUUCCUCUCCUUGUCUCGCCUGCUGUUUUCUUACCCUGCAUGCCUCUACUCUCUGGGCAUUUCUCUUCCUCUUUCUCCUUUUAUUUAUUUAUUUAUUUAUUUACCUCUCUGGCCUCCCACAUUCCAGUUUUACCCCUUCUUUUUUUUUCCUCUUUCCAUCCUCUCAGUGGAGAUGAGUGGGUGGAGUGAAGAAUUGUGCCCCGGAGAUUGUUGUGCCAUCCGCUUUUCAGACGGGCCAGACUUUGUGUGCAUGAGUGUGUGUACUUGAAGAGCCCUCACACAACAAGAAAAAUGGACAUUCCCUUUUAUUCAGGCUUAAAUAAACGAUCUGAGUUAUUGCUUCAUUGCUGUUGUCCUACAAAUAUAUAAAUCUUAUUUAGACAAUGACAGCUUAUUUUCUGUUUCUCUGCCUCUCCCGCGAUGCUUGAUUUUGUGUCCAGACAUUUUUCUUUUUGUUUUAUUUUCGUUUUGGACCUAAUUAUUGCUCACGACCGGCCUUUUUCUCCUCACACUUCUUUCCAUGUCAGCUCGGAAUGAAAAAUAUCGCUCUUUCGCUCUCUACAUUUCCUCGUAUUUUCUCACUUACUCCUCAUCUUCAACCCCUCCUCCUCCUCUUUGGCCAUUUUUAGACAGCAAAUCCCAUCCUCUGCUACACUACAUCUCUGAGUGCCUGAGUAUGUCUAAGUUCUACAUGUUUUUUCAGAGAUAGUAAAAGACACACACAUUAAAAAACAAAACACAACAAAACAUCAUCCACCAAAUCAAGAUCACGGUAGCCUCCUCAAUAAAUAUUUAACCUCAAGUCUUAUUUACACAUCUGGAAAAGGGAAAAAGGUAAGCGAUGCCCAUUUUCCAGCGGAAUAAUUGGUUUUACACAGUGGUUGGCUUAUUGGUAGAGGGAAAAAUAGAUGGAAUAUGGGAAAUUGUAGGGAGAACUGUACCCACUUAGCAGUUUUUCGUAACCGAAUGAAAGAUUUGUUUUGGUGUUUUUCAGGUCACUGGGCUUGUUUAGUGUGUGAGCCUGAAGGCGAGUUUGUUGUCUUUUUUUUUUCUUUAGGUGAGCUGCUUUAUUUGUUUUUGAUUUUUUUUGUUUUCUUUUAGAGAGAUGCCUUCAAGACACAUCAGAAGUCUCACCUUGGAGGAUGAACUGUUGCUUCACAGCUUCUUGGAUUUUUAUACGAGUCUGUGUUUCUGUUGGAGUUUUAUUAUUGCACAGUUUGAAGGUCUGAAGUGCUUCAUUCCUGUUUUGAGCUCAGAGUUUAGCUCUAAUUUUUGCUCUGUUCUCAUGUCUGGUUUUGAAUCUUUUGUCUGUCAGCUUCAGUUUCUAUUUUGAGUUCCAUGUUUUUUCCCAAGUUUAAUCCCUCUUUGCUCAUUACUCUGUCGCAUGUUUAUGCCUUUGUCCUCUGGUGUUCCCUUGUCUCUAAAUUCAUGAUUAGUGGAGAUCUUUUUAUCCUUUUUUAGUUAUAUGUCUUUAGGCUUGUUUCCUGUUUUACUUUGACAGAUGGUUUCUCUAGGGUCUCGCUUCGGGUCUCGCUUCCUGUCUGUCUUCCCCUGAUGGUUCAGAUUGUGAGCACCUGUGUCUUAUUCCUCCAGCUGUAUCCCUAAUCAGCCUUCUGUGUCUGUAUAUACGGCAUCCUCCCCGCGUCUUUUGUUCUAGCAUUUGUUGAGUUACCCUCAGUGUGUGCUGUCCUGAGGGGUACACUACAAAGUUGAACAAAACCUUUGCAGGUUUUUGAACAAAUCCAUGAGCGCUUCCUACUAGAGAAAUGAUCACAUUAUGAUGAUGAUAAAAUGGCAACAAACUAACAUAAAAAUAUAUGCAGGCAAGAGAUUAAUACAGCAGAAAAUUGUUAAUGUCAGGAUUUAGCACAUAGAGCAGUACGAUAAACAUUUCAUGUCUCAGAGCUGCUGUUAUUUCUAAUGUGAUGGCUACAUAUUAGAGCUCUGAAACUGGUUACAUUUAAACUUGUUACAGUCG
ensembl:lncRNA